GGUCUCAGUAGCAAACAGAACCUUCACCAACCCUCUUUGAAAAAGGAUUUCUACUAUUUCCUUGAUGAUGGGUAACAGUCCGCCAUGAUGAACGGCUAAACCACGAGAAAGCAUUUCUCGCAUACGACCGAUUUGAGGAAGCAAUCGAUCUUCUUUUUUUAAUCGAGCAACGGCCUUUUCAAUAACAACGUGCACUUCACUUUUUUCCUGAUGAUUAUUUAAAUCACGGUUAGUAAGUGUAUCUACGUAUUCCUCACAGCGUUUCUUCGAAAAUACAAAUACUAUUACAGGCAAAAGAUUUUGCUUAUGUAAAUGACCAAUUAAGUGAACCCAAGUGUUAGCAUCUCUUCUUUCAACAGACUUUGCGCUUCCUCUGCCACGCAUCAUAUUCGUUUGAACGCCUCUGCCUCUAGCGGCACCCCGACCCCUAGCUGAGUUCUUAUUAUCCUUAGCUAUAACAGGUUUAUCAGGCUUUUUCAGUGCAUCGUUUGCGGAUUUGUAGCCAUCCAUCAAAAACCGACCGUGCUGAUCAACGAUUUUAAACAUGUUCUGUUUCACCCAGAGAUAAUGCUCUAAGGGCACUGGUCGCUUCAAAGUUGAGAUAACAUAAAUGUUCUUUUUCUUUGUUCGUCCAACCCAAGAAGCAAACUCUUUGGUGUUAGGGACGGUAGCAGAUAAAAGAAUCAAAGUUACAUGAGGAGGAAGCAUAAUAAUAACUUCCUCCCAAACUACACCUCUUUCUAAAUCAUUCACAUAAUGAACUUCGUCAAAGAUAACAAACUCAACAUCACGAAUUAAGUCAGCACCUCUAUACAACAUGCUUCGUAAAAUUUCUGUUGUCAUAAGAAGGCAUGAGCCUUCUGGAUUUACUUGGACAUCACCAGUUAAAAUUCCAACGUCUUCAAAUUUAUGUUUGAAAUCUCUAAACUUUUGAUUAGAUAGUGCUUUAAUGGGUGAAGUAUAUAUAGCCUUCGUCAUAUGUUUUUGUGCCAAAGCAAUUGCAUAUUCAGCUACUACCGUUUUUCCAGCACUGGUGUGAGCAGCAACAAAGACAGAGUCACCCAUUUCAAGAUGAUAAAUAGCCUCCUUUUGAAAAUUAUCGAGUUCAAAAGGAAAGUCAAGAGCCAUUUCCGGAACGAGUUGUUGAAAAUUUUCUAUUGGUGCACUACUAUCUACAACAUGAGCAUAGUCUGGUUGCUUAUGCAAGUUCAAAGUAGAAGGCGGUAGAGAAACGAUGCUUCUUUUGUCAGGUAGUAGAUCAUCAAUUUCAGAAUGUUUAGAAUUGACAUUUUUUAGGUGUUCAUUCAACUCAUGAAUGGUGACAAAGUUACGAUUCGAGCUUUUCACUUUCUUAGUAUCCCAUUUUUCGGGGUCAAAUUCAUCGUUCAAAUUGUCAGUCGUGGAUGUCGCUGUCAUGGAAAGCCCUCGGGAGAACCCUGGCGGUACUUGCAACAAACCAUCUUCACCGUAUAGAGCCAUUUUCACGGAUGGUUCGCCUGCUAUAGCAUCGACAUCAGAGUCAUCUGCCAGAAAAGGAAUGUUGCUUGUGCUUCCACGAACGAAUUCAUUUUUCGAAGAUGGUUUUCGUAAGAAACUUGACGAAUUUUUAGAAUUAAGGUCUUCUAUUAAUUCAGGAACCUCUUUGUAGCCCAUAAUUUUACCCUCCAGGCCAUGUCUUUGAAAGCGAAUUUGCGUACGAGCUAAAGUCUCGGGAUACUCAUAUAGUCCUUUAUAUGUAAUUUCCCUAUCCCAUUUUUUUUGCAACUUUCGAAUCCAGUCCUUCGAUAAGGCUGGAGAAGGCUUCAAAAAUGUAUCAACAUCGUAAGUUGCUUCAGUGAUACUCAGGUGUCCGUCAAAGGAAUCAUCUUUUAUUCCAUCUAAUUCAAUUUUAUCCUUGUUAGAAACUGCUACUUCGUUGAUUGCAUCUACAAGUUUAGAAGACAUGGACGAUGAUUGAGUAGGUGGGACUUGGGUAAUAGAUCUAAGUAUGUUAUGUCGUUAUAAGAAUAUUGGUGAAUUGAACAAUAGUAGACUGAUUAUCAAGUGAUAUAUAGUUAUUUUCGAC